rnacentral:rRNA from 1 species
AUGAACGCUGGCGGCGCGCCUAACACAUGCACGUCGAACGAUUAAAGCACCUUCGGGUGUGUAUAAAGUGGCGAACGGCUGAGUAACACGUGGGCAACCUGCCCCUCUCAUUGGGAUAGCCACGGGAAACCGUGGAUAAUACCGAAUACUUCGGGACUUCCGCAUGGAAGACUCGAGAAAGCUCCGGCGGAGAGGGAUGGGCCCGCGGCCUGUUAGCUUGUUGGUGGGGUAAUGGCCUACCAAGGCAAUGAUGGGUAGCUGGGUUGAGAGACCGACCAGCCAGAUUGGGACUGAGACACGGCCCAGACUCCUACGGGAGGCAGCAGUGGGGAAUCUUGCACAAUGGGCGAAAGCCUGAUGCAGCGACGCCGCGUGCGGGAUGAAGGCCUUCGGGUUGUAAACCGCUUUCAGCAGGGACGAGGCGAAAGUGACGGUACCUGCAGAAGAAGCCCCGGCUAACUACGUG